GCAAGUGUCGGGCCUGGGUUUAAAGAGGAACCCGAGCGCGUGGCUGCGUGUGAGCGGGAGCGUGUGACGUCGGGAGCCGCCCCGCUCGGCUGUCCCUGGUCAGGACCCACACUGCCGACUGGCUGGCCCUGGCGGUCACAUUUGCCCUCUGGGGUUUUUGAAAACCUUAAAUCAAAGUUAUUUUUUUUUCUCCCCCGGCAACUCCCGAGGCUACUGCUGCGGCCUCCGGGCUGUGAACAGAUAAGGACGCGAGUUUCCCCGACGAGGCUGACUGCAGACAAAGUGGAUUUCUAAGCCAGAUGGUUCUCCAUUUGAGGCAGUCAACAGUAUUUGGCAAUCUGAACUUUCCAUAACUCCAGUGACAAGCUGGGAUGCUCUAGCCAGGAAGCUGAGAUACUGAGAUCCAGAACAUACAGGACCAGCAGAUGCUGAACAGGGCUGAGGAUGUGGUUUCCAGCCCAACUACCUCAGGAGUCCAUCAGCCACAGUAUGCCUGUUUCUUGCUCUGUAGGCUGGAGAAUGUGUAGCAACAUACCCUUGAUCAUGAAACUACAGCCUGUGCGUGGGAUCUAGGUUCUGUCCCAGCCUUGAGGAGCAUCUGCCUGAAGCUUGGAGCUCCGGCGUGACCCUGGAGCCCUUUGGCCUGGGCCCAGCUGCAGGCUUCAUCUGGCUGUCUGCAUUACUCUCUGGUAAUGAGUUCCCCUCCCCUGGAGAAAUUUUCCCAGAAGUUCCACCCACGCCCACUUGCCAGGGUGGC